AAAAUGGGGACAUAAUGGAGAUGGUUGAUCCAAGAUUGGGGUCUGAAUUCAACAAGAAAGAAGUGGUUAGAAUGAUCAAUGUAGCCCUGCUAUGCACAAAUCAAUCUCCAGCACUUAGACCUACAAUGUCUACAGUAGUGAGCAUGCUUGAAGGAGAAACUGAUGUCGAGGAACUCGUCAUGGUUCCAAGCACAUUAGGUGAUCCAUCAGGGUUUUCUACGGCCUUACAUAACAAGUUUGCUCGAUCUUCUGUCAAUGGAAGUUUAAGUGAAACUCAGUCCCUCUUGAAGUCAUCAGAGGGACCAUGGACUGCUUCUUCGUCUUCAUCGGCCCAGGAUCUUUAUCCAAUUAGUAAAAGCUGAUGCCACGAACCACAAAUUGUUUAUCAUGAAAAAUCAUGAAUAAGAAACAGAUUAAAACUAAACAGUCACAAAAGUACUUUUUAUAGUUAGUGUUUAUAUCCUACAGUGAAUGGAGUGAUUAUAUGUAAUAUUGACUUUGUUUAUGCAAAAAUAUAUAUUUUUAUUUAUAAUAAUAAUUAUUUAAGUUUUAUUAAUGAAUCUAGAAUAAAUAUGAAAUUCUGAAACAUAAAUACUUUGUAAAUAAAAUUAUAAAAUAGUUAUAAUUAUUAUGAGUAUUCAUAGCUAUUACAUUAAAGCAUUGUUUUUAAAUAUUUAUAUUCAGAGUUGUGAAGAGUGAUAUAUAUCAUUUUAUAAAUAUAAUGAAUAAUAAUUACAAUAAAAAACCUGUUAGUAAAAGCUAAGUUAAAUUGGAGUUGGAUUUCUUUUUUAUUACGAGAGUGUUUAAGAGUAUGAUAGUGGUUGCGGUUAAAAAUAUUUUUUACUUGAAAAUAUAUAAAAAUAAUAUUUUUUAUUUUUUAAAAAAUUAUUUUUGAUAUUAGUAUAUUAAAAAAAUCUAAAAACAUAAAAAAAUUAAUUUUAAAUAAAAAAAUUAAAUUUUUAAAAAACAUGAUUCGUACUACAUUUCUAUACACCACUUCCAUCUAUCAUGUAACAAUUGUUCCCAUUGAAAAUCAAUCCAAUUCGGUGAUAAGUCUCCACAUUAAAUCAUUCAUAAGAAGCCUUAAUUAUAUUUUAUACUUCUACCCUAAUCUCAGAACCUUUACAGACUCAAGAAAAAUCCUUUACCUUAGUUUAUCCAACACAUUUCCAUUAUUGCAAACCUUUAUAUCUUUUGUCAGAUAGGAAGCUAUUUUCAGUAUUUCUUAUUUUUAUCCUUGAACUUUCAUUUUACACAAUUGAAUCAUUUUUAAUUCGAAAUGAAAUCCAAUAGCAUAUUUUUUUUAGGAGGAAGGUUAAUUGAAAGGCAAAGGAUUAAAGUAAAAAAAACAGGUAAAAUAGAUAAUGUAUUUAAAAUUGGUUUGUUCAUAUUAGUCUCCUAUCUUUUUUUAUCUAUUAGGUAAUUGGUUCCUCUAAUUGUCAAAAAUUCAAUUUUGAUACGAAAUUUCAUUUUUAAAAUUUUUUCCAGUUCUUUUUUGGUGAAGGAGAGAGAGGGGAUCAUCAAAUUCCAACGUAAAGAAAGAGAGUUGUUGAUAGAGAUGAUUUUGACCACCAAAAUAGUAUAUUUUUAUGUCAAAUGGUUUUAUAUAAUAGGAAGAGUUAAGAUUAUAUUGUUUUACCUUGAAAAUUCCUACAAAAACAAAUAUGAGAUCGAUAAGAGUUUUGAUUUCGGGUUGAUUUUGAGUUUUGAAGUUCUUUUUAGCAUUUUUGGAGGCCAUAGAUUGGUUUAACAAGGGUUCAUAUGAUGUUUUCCUAAGUGUUUUGGGUCAAAAAUAUGUUGAAAAGGAGUUUUUGGGUGAAAAAAAAAACUAACCCUAUUUUUCGGCCAACUUGUUGCCGAAUUCUACGGAGCUCCGGAUGAUGCAUCAUUGUUUUUUUCUAUUUGUUAAUAUUUUUGUUCUUUUUAAUUUAAUUUCAAAGUGAAAAUUUAUUGUUGCCCUAUAAUUUAUUUUUUAUUUUGAUUUUAACCCUCUUUUUUUAAUUAAUAUUUUCUAUUUUAAAUUUUUUUAUAUAAUUUAUUUUUUAAAUUUUAUUAUUCAACAUUUUAUUUUUUAUUUACCCUUGGGAUCAUUAAAGACUCGAUGUUGCCUUGCUUGCUUGUGCUUAAACAAGUUCAGGAUCAGCACCCCCAAUGCCUAAGAGAAUUGAUAUGGAAAAGUUCCUGAGUUAUUGGAACAUUGAGUCAAGCCGAGCAAUUAUUUUUUGUUAAAACAUUGUAGUUUUGAUUUUUUACAAAGUCAGGGCAACUCAAUAAAAUCAAUUGAAUUUUAUAAGAUAAAUAUCUUUUUUAAUUUAAUUUAAAAUUUAAUCUAAUUCAAGCACUGCAAUUUUCUAAGAUCAAUCUGAAAAUCAUUUUAGUAUAAAAUAUGUUUAGUAUUGUGGUGUAAAAUAUUUUUUAAUAAAAAAUAUAUUUAAAUAAUAUUAUAUAUAUAAAUAAACAAAAAACAAUUUUAAAGAAAAAAUCACAGAAAGCUUUACAACUAUAUGCUGGAAAUACAAAACCCUUUUUUAAGGGAAAAAAAUGGUGAAAGGCAAACCCCAUGUAUUCCCAUUGUUUUUUUGACCUUAGCCCGUUUUUACAAGAUAAUGGGUCCAUGGAGUUCUUAAAAUCGCAGCAAAGAGCUAGAACAGUCAAGCAUUAGAUUCAUGCAAAUUCUUUGUUCCCGAACGAUCACAUGAGUUAAAUUGAUUAAAAAACACCUGAUGAGGAUAAACUAGUUUAAUCAUAUAUUUAAUUAAAAAAACUUGGGUCAGAUUCUAAGUUUUCCAUGUUAAUUUGUCAUAUCAAGCAGGUUUAAUAAUUAUGCACAUUACAAUAAACCCAUGACUAUAAGCAAUUUAGAGGCUUCUCGAUAGAAGUAUGGACUUGCAUUUGACCCCAACUAAAACAAACCUCACAAAUGACAAAUCUAUUUUAUGAAGCCUAAUGGACUUUUAUACAUUGAUUUUUAUAAUUUUAGAGGCUUUUUCUGUCACAUAUAAUACAUAUUAUUAUUAUUAUUAUACUAUACUUUAAUAAAAUAUGUGGAAAAACAUUGUGCAGAUACUAUAUAUGUAGAUUUAUUAUACUAUGGACCACAUUAUAGAUAUAGAAUAUUUGUACCGUGGAUGAUAUUGUAACACCAGGAGAGCAUUAUUUUUUUUAUUUAGUCAAAAAGUAUUGCCGGGUCUAGUUUGGCCACUAACCCAAUGCUAUUGGAUCCGACUACCAAUAGCCUUGAAGUCUAGCUGCCUAGCUAGAUCCAAUAACAUUGGGUCUGGCUCGGUAACCAAACCGAUAAAUAUUGGGUUUGUCUCGAUCGGCAGCCAGACCAAUGAUAUUUUCAUAUUUAUAAUUUUUGCACUUUUUUCACCCAAUGCAUAUUUGUUUUGAUUAAUACACACACACACUAAACUUAAUCACAUUUUCCUUGUCAUAUUUGGUUUAAAAAUUGUUUGUUUUUGAAUUUUAAAGGUGUAUUUAUCUUGAAACAUCGUUACAUUAAUGUAUUUUUUUAGUAAUUAUUUUUUAUAAUUUUGAGGUAUUACUGUUAAAAGUAAAAAAAAAAACCUUAUUUGAAUUAUUUUCAAGUAAAAAAUGCUUUUAAAAAAUAUUUUAUACCACAAUUUCAGACCCAAGGCUAUUGGGUUCAGCUCCAUAGCCAGGCCCAAUAGUAAUGGGUCUGGUUGCAGAGCUAGACCCAAGGUUAUUGGGCUCUCUUUAGAAGCCAAACCCAAUAUGGAGCCUAGUUCGGCUGUCAGACCCAAGAAUAUUGGAUAUGGCUUGCCAGAAAGACACAAUGCUAUUAAGCCUGGCUCUACAACAAGACCAAUGUUUUUGGGUCUGCCAUUCUCGCCAGACCCAAUAUCAUUUGGUUCUGGUAUAACCGCCAGACCCUUGAUUAUCGUGUUUGACUCUACAACCAAACCCAAGAAUAUUGGAUCUAGCUUGACUGCUAGACCCAAGACACUUAAAAUAUUCUUUAUACUUUUUAUAUUUGUUUUACAUUUGAAAAACAAUUUGUUAUUAACUUGCUAUGGAGCGUAAGCCAAUAUACUAAUAGCUUAUUAAAUCAUGUUUGUUUUUAAUAUUUUUUUAAUUUUAUUAUUUUUAUCCUUUCACCAUCCUAAAUUCAAAAAAAAAAAAAAAAACUCUAAUCACUUUACCUGUCAUUCAAACUUUGACCAUUAACUUGCAAUAUCAGCACCUUCCCAAUUAAAUGUUAUUUUAGGAGCUUAGAAUAACAUCUUUUUACUUUUAUUUGUUCUUUCAAAACAAAUCGAAACUUACGAUUCCAAGAAGAAGAUAGCGCUACGAGGAUAAAAUAAUAAAAUGAUGUUGUAAUCUAUAGAUCUUUUAUUUUUAUUAUUAAACAUUUGCUCCUAAACAAAUAGUCACAAUUUAGUCCUUCAACAAUUUCAAUAAAAUCCUUGCUACCUUUGAAUGGUUUUAAUACUGUCUUUCCAUCCAUUUCACGAUGUGUUUGCUGUUGCUUGAAUGAUAUGGAGAAUGCUCUAUGUGUUAAGAAAUAUAUGCUGAUUCAAAGAGAAUAUAUUUUAUUUGAUGUAAUUUUUCUAUAAUUAUUUUUUUUUUUUUUUUUACAUUUAGACUCUUUAUAAUAAAUUAAAUAGCGUAAUUAUAAAAACCCUCGUAAUAUAAAAAAUACAUACAAAUUUCUAUUUUAUUUUUUACAUUGAUAUUAGAGCUGGAUUCAAUAUAAAAAAUACAUACAAAUUUUUAUUUUAUUUGUUUACAUUGAUAUUAGAGCUAGUUUCAAUAUCCUAGUCUUUCAAUACUUUGGUCAAAUAUUAUGGAGGACUAGAAAACCAACAUAGAGCCAGCCACCUAGGAGAGACCGGUAGGAAUCCAACUUCGAAAUGAAAUUCUUUAAGAUAUUUCAUUUUGAGAAAUUAUUCAAUGCAAUUGGAUUAAUAAAUAUAUUUUACAAAGAUAUUUUAAAAAUAAAAUAGCCUAUCUUACAAAGAUAUUUUACAAUGAUAUUCUUUCGAAAUGAGUCUCUUUGAUGGUUUUGUGGAUUCAAAGAAUUAUAUAGCCUUUCUUUUCUCCGUUUUUGAACGUAAAAUUCUUCUUUCUUAUAGUCGGAUACUUCCUCUCCAAUUUCCCAAUCAUAUUUAUUAUUAUCAAUCUUCCCGUUGACUAAGAGAUAAGAAAAUGCAAGGGCACAAGUGGUCUAGUACAGACAAAGGUAUACUUGAAGAAGUGCGGGCUUAUAUAUAUAUAUAUAUAUAUAUAUAUAUAUAUAAGACAACGUAAGAAAGACCCCACAUCAUCCUGAAAGGUCAACUAUAAUGAUGCAUAAAGCUCUCUCCAGGCAGCCUACUAACUCUUAAAGUGGAUUGCAGACUAAGGAAGAUGGCUACUGCACUCUCUGAUAUAUUGAGACUCACAUCUAGCUUACUUAUGCUUAUGUUACUAAUGCUUUGCAUGGGAGCAAUUAACUUGGAGGCCCAAGAUGGGAGCCUUGCUCCUGAUGAAGGUACUAUAUAUAUAUAUUUUUUAAUUUCUUGGCAAGGCAUUGUAGAAGCCACCAGCUAAUCAUCCCAGAAUUAGAAGUUGAGAUUUAAUUUUGAUUUAUGCAGUGGAAGCUCUACUUGAAGUAGCAACACAACUGGGCAAAAAAGGCUGGAAUCGCAAUAUGAAACUGUGCAAUGAUACAAUUUUACCUCCAAAGCCAGAUGCUGACAAUAAAGUUGUUUGCAACUGCUCGUUUCCUGGGGGUGUGUGCCGUGUUAUUGCCAUGUAUAUCUCUUCACUUACCACUCCAUGCUUUUAUUUUCAAUUUUAAUUUGAGGUCUGAAGGAUUCUGAUGGGGCCAGUUCAGGGAAUGGAGGAAUAGUUGUGGUGUAUAAAGUCUCCUCAGAAACCCCAUUUCGAUUGUUGAAUUUUAUAUUAAGAAAUUCGGAUAAAUUCAUUAGCAAUAAAAUUAUCUAAAAACAAGUAUGAUAAGGAUAUCAAGGAAAACUUAAUCAUGUGGAAAAUGUCGUGAAUAGCAAAGAAAGGAUCUCCAGCAAAGAAAAUUGAGCAUCUGUCAGAAGUUUAGUCUUAAGAGUUUGAAGAAAAGCUGAGUUUGUCGGAAAAUAAUAUAAAUAUUUUCAUAUCUUGAGAUCUCGAAUCUCUAAGCUUUCACUUGGAAAGUGUUUAGGAAAUAAUAUAAACCUUACAGUUUAAGUCAAAAAUUUGGUUUUCUAUUCCAUUGGCUGUUUGUAGUUAUGUCUUAUAUUUUCUUGACAUAUGAUUGUUGAUUUGCAAUGGUUGAAAGUUUUGAAUUCUUACCUUGUAGUGAGGAAUUGAUGGGUCCAUGUGUUCUUGCAAUGCAGAUAUCUCAAAAGGCAAGAUCUUGAUGGUAGUCUCCCAAAGGCUAUAGAGAAACUACCACAACUUAAACAUCUGUAAGCAGCGCUUCAAAUUACUACAUUUCUACAGAUUGAGUACCGUGAAUUUGCAUCGAAUGAUUCGAUUUUAUUAGAAUUAUAUCUGCUCUGCAGAGAUCUCUGGGCCAACUACCUGAGUGGCAAUAUACCACCUGAAUGGGCUAAUACCAAGCUGGAAUUACUGUAAGAAAAUACUGCAUUCAUGUUUUGUAGCCAAGGAAUUGCUUACUCAUAAUUAAUAGAUUGUAUAAACAACAGGUCUAUCGGCGUGAAUCGCUUGACAGGAAAAAUCCCUAGCUAUCUGGGAAAUAUCACCACACUUAGAGCAUUGUAUGCAUUUUUCUACUAGUCAAUUUCUUGUCUUUUAAUUUUAUAUUUAAAUCUGUUCAAUUGUUUAGUCAGGAGUAAUCCUGAGAGUUGGCAUUUAUGCAGGAACAUUCAGAACAAUAUGUUUUCUGGAACUGUUCCCUCUGAGCUUGGAGGCUUGGUUAACCUGGAGAAUCUGUCAGUUCAUUCAACCUUUUGCGUUUGAAAUUAAGUCCUAACUGAUUAUUGAAUGCUAAGUGUUUUUCUCCUUUUGUGAUUGCAGAACUCUCAGUGCCAAUAAUCUCACUGGAGAGUUACCCCCGGCUCUUAUUAAUCUUACCGGAUUGAAGGAACUGUAGGUUCUCAUUUCACAUGGUUAUUGUGCAUCAUACUCAUUAGUUGCAGUAUUUGAUAUUUACUCUCCAAGUUUCUUGAUUCUGUGUUUUCCGUUCGGCGAAUGCAGAAGGCUUAGCAGCAAUAACUUCACUGGAAGAAUACCUGAUUUUAUUCAGAGCUGGAAACAACUUGAUACAUUGUAUGUGCUAGUUUCUAACAAGAAGUUCUGAAUCUCAUCAGUGAAGCAGAACCCUAACCCCCCUUUAAUUUUGUAUUAACAGAGAGAUCCAAGCUGGUGGUUUCACUGGACCUAUUCCUUUGAACAUCUCUGUCUUGACUAAUCUAACUGAUCUGUAAGAUAUUUGUUUUAAAUUUAUGGUCCCAGUUACAAGUUUAAUCCUGAACAUCUCACAUCUUUAUGUUGCCUACUAUUGAGCAGAAAAAUAAGUAACUUACUUGGAGAUGGUUCAGAGUUUCCCAACCUAGAAUCUAUAGCAGGCAUUAAGUAUCUGUGAGUUAUUCUUGCAGCUGAUACUCUCAUACCAGGAUCAUAUUUAAUUUACAACACAGUAUAUAUUUAGCUUACAUGAAAUUAAUGUAUAUUGCAGGCUAUUGAGCAACUGCAACUUGUCAGGAAAUUUUCCCAUAUAUUUGACCGGAAUGGCACAGCUGAAAAUUUUGUAAUUCACUCUGUCCCUUAUACAUCAUCCAUUGUGUCAUUCAUCUACAUGAAGAUUGAAGUGUGAAUCUCAUGGAUACUUAGAGCUGCUGUCUUUAGAUUGCAGCUACAUUAUUAUUUGUAAAUAACUUUCAAAAUGCAUUAUGAACCAGGGAUCGCAGUUUUGGUCUUUAAUUUAUUUUUUUUCCUUCUUUUCGAAAACAGGGAUCUCAGUUUCAACAGAUUAAAUGGUUCUCUUCCAACAAAUUUUGAUGGCCUAAAAAGCUUGGAGAAAAUGUAAGUAUACUAUAUUAUAUUACCUUCUGAAAUUAAUGUUUGCCAUAUGAAAGCAUAAUUAUUAAACCUAGACAAGUUGACAUAGAAAGUUCAGGACUCGGAGCCGAGAUUCCAAUUGAACCAUACAAGACAUUGAACUGCCAAACCUGAUGGGUCAAUAUGCAUUUGCUUAAAUAAAAAAGUUGACUUAAAAAAGUACGACAAAUAUGUUCAACCAAAUGAACUUGUUCUCCAGAUAGUCUUUUGCAAUGAUAGCCUUGGACAAAUGUUCAACCAAAUGAGUUGCUUUUUUUUUUUCUGCGUUCUCCCUUGUCUUUUUUUCUCCGUGCUGUUGCUUGUGCUAUUAUUGGAGAACGAAGAUGAAGAUGAUGGUGAUGGUUAGGGAUGUUUGUUUGGCUGAGAGUGGAGGCCAAGGCUGGUGUGGUGGUGGUCUUGGUAUCAAGCCAGGGAGAGAAGAAGAGAAAAAAAAACUGAAGGGGGCGUUUAAUGUCUAGUCUGAGACCAGGGAAGAAGAGAGAAAAAAAGCUGGGGGGAGGGGGCAGCGGCGGCUAGUGAUUCGGCCGCGCCCCUAUUUUUUUUUUAAAAAUGUCUUUAUUUAUUUAUUUUUUUGUAGGGUUUCUAGUAAUGGUUUUCUCCUAGAGUUUCCUCUGCCUCCUCUUCUGCAUGCACUGAGAUCUAUAUUUAGGUAAGGGUUAUCUUAAAGAUAAGGAUAAAAUAAUAAAACAUAUUAUAAUCUCUAGUAUUCGUGCAAGCUAACAAAUCAUAUUUUUCAUUGAAAUAAAUUUUUAAUAUUUUAAUUAUAUAUUUUAAACCCCGUAAAAUAAAAUUAAAACCAAUAAACAAAAUUAGGUUACAACACAAAUCAUGAGCUCAAAUGAUUUCAGAUGAAAAUCGAAUUUCCCAACUUGAAAUAAGCAAAUUAAAGGUUUGCCUUUGGAAACCCAAAAGUUGCUCCAACAAUUAGUGUCUGCAUUCUCUAAAGUAAAAGAAGAAUCCUCUCUGUAAGAAAACAAAUUUUGAUCAAGACAAGUAACCUUGAGCUUUACAUAUCAAUAGAUCCAAAUCUUUCAAAAUCCAAAGAGGUUGUAGUUUCAAAUCCAGAUGCUUCUCUUCAAACCGUUUCCCAAACAAAUAGGCAGUGAUAUCAAAAACUCCUCAAAAUAAUUUUCAAAGAAAAACAAUUUUUAGUAAUAUUUUUCAUAAAACAAUUUUCAAAAGAUUUGACAUGAGUUUCACCCAAAAUAAAAACCGACCUGACCCGAGAGUUGAAGUGAGACCUAGGCAACCCGGGGUCUCGGCGCGUUUUAAAUAGUCUAAACUCGGGUGACUCGACAUAACCCGGGUGAGACCUAAACUCUUUUUUUUUUCCUUUAUAUUUUUGUUUAAUAAACCUAAAAAAUAUAAAGUUAAUUUGUGAAUACUUGGUCUCACAUAUGUUUUUAUAGCCUAUACCUUAUAAAAUGUUUCGUAAUCUUUUCAUGUGGGAUAUAUAUAUAGACACACACACACCAUUCAACAGCCCAAAUACUCAGCAUUAAUCAUCCCUAGAAUGGCCUAAAGGACCAAAUUCCUUCCCAAAAUUAUAGUAUAAACUAAAAAAAGAAAGAGGUUUUAUUGUUAAUUAUUGUUCAUCAACGUGGAUUUUAAUAGUGAAUUUUUUGAAAUUUUCAAUUUGAUUUGUUAUUAUCUAUUUUUAGGUCCCCACACAAAAAAAAAAAAUCAAAACCUUUGUCGGAAGAAAACCAAUAAAUAUAUAACAGUGAAAAGAGGACACAGGGUACCCAGAAAAUGACCAAAGAUUGGUUGAGGAAGUUCAAAAAUACAAAGAUUAAAAUUGACAGUAUAUUUUUUACUGAUGAAGGCUCUAUUGAUAAAGAAAAUUCAAUUUAAGGAAGAAAAAUUUUAAAUUAGAUGUUUAAGGAACCAAUUAGAAUUUGUUUAAGGUCUAAUUGAAUUUAUGAAGGAUUUAAUUGCAAGAAAAUUGAUUUUUUAAAAUCAAUUUAGGCUUUAAUUGAAAGAAAUUAAAGAUUAGGGGUCACAUCACAAUUUUUAAGAUUUAAUUUGGUCAAAUCAAAGACUUAAUUGUGUAAAUAUUGAAGUUUGAUGGGCAAUUAGGGAUUGUUUUGAAGAAAUCCAAAACUAAGGACCAAACUGGAAAAUAAGCUAAUAUAAGGGUUGAAAUUGACUGAAUCAAGGGCUAAAUUAAAGAAAUUGAAAGUUUGUUGAAUAAUUGAGGGUCAAAAUGCACAAAUUCAAAACCAAGGAUUAAAGUGAAAAAGGGAACUAACUUCAAAGCUAACAUUUAAAUUUGGCAGGGAUACAAUUGAAUUGAUUCUUAAAACCAAAAUCUCAAUUGAGGACUGAUUUGGAAACAAAGAUUUUUUGGCGUCAUUUUUUUUAAAAUUAAACAACAAAAAUUUUGUACAAAAUAACAUCGUUUCAUUUACUAUUAUAUAUAUAUAUAUAUUAUAUAUAUAUAAAGACAAAACGAUGCCAUUUCGAUGGCAUUACUUGCCAUCUUCUUCUCCUAGAUGCGCUGCAGGCAGGACAAGAAGGUCUUUCCCCCUUGUUGCACCCUCGCAAGAGUGCAGUGUUGCGGCGACCCUUUCCAGGAGUGGAGAAUGAUGUUAGGGUCUUUGUUUUGUGAAAAAAGAAGUCGCUACCUAGUAUUAUAGUCAUUAGAAAACCUAACUGGUUUUUUAGAGAUUCUAAAGCAAGAGAUUGGUUGUGUAAAAGAAAGGUUUUAACACCCCUAGUACGCCUACCUAAGGUAAGCUGUUUGGUGUUUGGUUUACCUUAUAAUUUCUAUGGUGUUGAUGUUCUCUAAUUCCAUCAGUGCUUCUAAUGUGCUUGUUGUUGCCUAAACUUAUGAUAUUCACUAUUAUAUGUUAAGGUGGUAAAAGAAAACUAAUCCAAACAACCAUUUGUUCUACAAGCAGUAUAGAAUGAUGGAGAAUGCUCUAUGUAUUAGGAAAUAUAUAUUCAUUCAAAGCGAAUAUAUUUUACUUAAUGUAAUUUUCCUGUAAUUAUUUUUAGUUUCCUUUUACACUUAGACUACUUAUAAUAAAAAAGCAUAAUUAUACCAACUCUCUUGUAUAAAGUAGAUGUUUCCUAAUACAAAAAAAUACAUACAAAUUUCUAUUUUAUUUUCCUUACAUGGUAUUAGAGUUAGGUUCAAUAACCUAGCCUUUCUAAUAAUUCUUUUUUUUUUUCAUGCUAAUAUCAAUCAUCAUAGAGGAACAUCAACCAUUGAACAACAAUCCAUAUUUUUUGUACCAUUCAGAUCAUCCAGAUAUGGUGCUUAUCUCAAAGCCUCUUAUAUGAUGCAUGACCACAAUGAUUUUAUUGAAUGCCAAAUCCAAGCUAGGUUUUAUAAAUGGAACCAUUUCCAUGUCAUUGAAACAAACAAGCUAGAUGAAUAUGCCUCAUGGAAAAAAAUACAAUAAUAUUUUUUAUUUUUUAGAUUCUUAAUUCACUCAAAUAAGACAUUGCAGACAAUGUUAUUUUUUCAACCACAACACAAGAAGUAUAGGAAGACCUUAGAGAUCGUUUUUCACAAGGCAAUGCUCUUUGUAUUUUUCAAAUUGAAUGAUGAGAUAUUUCUUGCUUUGCUCAAGGUCAGUUGAUUAUUGCGGCUUACUAUAGAAAAAAAAAACUAUGAGAUGAAUUGGAAUCCUAUAAUAAUACCAUCUAUAUAUCCUAUAAGAAAAACCCUAGUCAUUUUCAAUCCCGGUGAAAAUUCAUAUAGAAAGAAAAUAAAAAAUAACGAAGUCUAAUCUCAAAUAAAAUAAAUAUCAAUACAUGAAACUAAAAAUAAAACAUGAGCUUAAAAAUUGAAAAAAACAACCAAACAAAUUCAGGAAAAUCUCCUAAACCUAAGUUAAUCUUCCCAAUCCGCAACUCGUGAAAUCCUCAACCCAUGCUUCAUCAAUAAGCUCAAUUUCCAGCUAAUUUAAUGUUCAAGGAUGAAAUUGAAAAAAAAAAUCAAAUUAAAAAAUUUAUCAAAGUAUAAAAAAUAACAAUUACAAGCAUAUGAAUCAAAUCUUGUAGGAAAAAAAAACUGAAGGAGAAUGAAAUCCUAAAAAAAUCAAUUUUAAAAACCAUCUCGGAUAAAAUAAAUAAUAAUCCAAUUAUAUAAAGAUGGACCAAAUUGGAAGGAAAAUCAAAUUAAAUGGUUGCUUUGAAAAUUUAAAGGGUUAAAUAUGGAAACCAAAGAAAAAAAAAGUGAAAAAAAGACUGAGUGAGUCAAUCCAAAGGUCUGUUGGCCAUACACUUUGCUUAGGGAUGCAGAGGCUAUCAAGAUGACUUGAAUGGCUACCCAUAAAUCAUUGUUAGAUUGCCAAACACCAAUAUGUGCAAUGCAUAUAUGAAUCACUUUGUUUUAUUAAUAUUAAUAUUUGUUAAAUGACUAAAUUACUUUUAAGUUAACUUGAUUACGGAAAAAAAAACAAUGAUAAAAUAUUAAAAUACUCAUAAAUAUCAUAAAUUUUUCUUAGAAGGAUAUAUUUUUAAUUAAGAAUAGAAAAACAUAGAUUUUUUUUUAAAAAAAAACAAAGACACAAAAUAAGAAAAGAAAAUAUGAAUUUUGUGAGAUGAUAUAAAGUAAAAACAUUAUCUCUUUGAUGAUGAUGAUGUAGGCAUUAUACCUUUAUUAUACCUUUUUAAAAGUGAUUUUUAUUUGAAAACAUAUUAAAAUAAUAUUUUUAUAUAUUAUUUUUUUUUGUUAUUUUUAAUAUUAAUAUAUUAAAAUUAUUAAAAAUACGAAAAAAAUAUAUAAAUUUAAUAUUUUUUAAAACAAAUAUAUUUUUAAAAAGUAUAUAAAAACAUUACACUUCCAAACAGAUUGUUAGUUUUUAUUUAUUUAAUUUUUUUUUAAUGGUUAUCAUGAAUUUAGAUGGAAGCAGGAUAUGUUGUCCUGGCAUGGGCACUGAAUUACCUGGAUUUAUUUUCGACAUAUGAUCAUGUUGGAAGGCAUUAAAUUUAUACCUAAUAAUAUUUCUCAUAUCAUUUUUAGAAAGUAAUAUAAACAUGUUUGUUGGGUUUUAUCUAGUAGUUUUAAUCUUAGCUUGAGGUUAUUUUUUAACAAAAUAAUAUAAUUUUAACAACUGAAUAUUAUCUAUUUUUAAAUUUUAUUGUCCAAUUUUUUAUUAAAUUAAUAAAAUUAAACACAAAAUAGUAAUACAAAUUCCUAGUUUAAUACAGUUUUAUUUCGGAAAAUAUAUUAAAAAAUAAUAUAAAUUCAUUAAUUAAAUAAUUUUUAGAAAUAAUUAUUUAAUCCCAAUAUUUUAUAUUCAUUUAUAAUUUCAUCCUUUUUGUCCAUGUCAUAUUCGUUUUCAUUUUGUUUUGAUUUUAAGAAAUAAGUACUUAGGAUAGAAAGUUUGAUAAUAAAAGGCAUUUUCUGAAGUAAAAUACUAUUAAAUUAAACAUGGUAAACACUAAAACAGUAAUGAUUUAAUUAUUUUUUAUAUGACAGCAAUUAAUUAAUUUAUUUUAUUAAACAAUAAACACUAAAUUCUAAUUAAUCAUUAAUUAAUGAAAAACAUUUCUGAUACCCUCUUCUAUUUUGAUGUAGGCAUCGAGUUAUUGCCUCAAAUUUGCAUGCCUACUCGAAUUGGAAAUUAGAUAGCAUUUUAAGGCCUAUGUUAAUUUUUUCUUUUAUCAGAGUCAAAAGAUUUACAGUCGUAUAUUAAUUAUUUAAUUUGCGUAUGAUAUAAUUUAGGAGAGAGGAGAAAGAGAACCGAGAGGGACUGGGGGAGAGAAACAAAACCAGGGAAGAUUUUGGUCCAUCAACCAGCAGCACCUCGUGCUGUUACCACCAUCGUCUUUGUCUUGAACGGAGAAGACUGGGCAGAGAAACAAGGGGGGAGGAGAAAAUAAACUGACUUUCGUUCCUCUGUUUCUUCUCAAGGAAACAGAGAAGAUUAAAGAAAAAAAAGCAACGAACAGAGGGAGGGAGAUUAUACAGAGGAGAGAGCAAACUUUGGAAAAGCGGAGGAACGACACAGAGACGAGGAGCAGCCCCGCCAUCGUCUGUCCCUUCAUCUCAGAACUGACGGUGACAGAAUCUAAAACCAGGAGCAAAGGAGACGCAAACUCAGCCCAUCGGACGAAAGCACAGAGACGAGAACCGGCGUUGACCAUCGUCUUCACAAUCUUCAUCAACGUCUUCAUCCUGCAUCCAGGUAAUCUUCUCCUUCUGCUUUGCAAUCUGAUUUGACACUGUUGCCGUAAAAUUUAAUUAGCCUUGCAUGCAUGCUUGGUGCGUGCCUUUGCCCAGCCGGGUCACUGGCUUGGGCCAGUGACCGGGCUGGGCCAGCUGGGUCCAGCCCAGCUCAUGUGGGCCCAGCCAAAAAAUAAAAAAAUAAAACAAGUAGAAAAAAAAUAAAAAAAUGUGUAUGCACAAAUAAGAAUAAUGUAAAUUUAUUGGGUUAUUCACUGACGCCAGAGUCAGGAAUAAAAAUACCGGUUUAAAUUUAUAUUAUUUUUAUUCGUUGUAUUUUAUUUUAUUUAGCUCGAAAAAUAAAAAAUAUAUGCAUGUAUGCACAAAUAAGAAUAAUGUAAAUUUAUUGGGUUAUUCACUGACGCUAGAGUCAGGAAUAAAAAUACCGGUUUAAAUUUAUAUUAUUUUUAUUCGUUGUAUUUUAUUUUAUUUAGCUAGAAAAAAUAAAAAAUAUGUGCAUGCAUAAAAAUAAAAUUAUAUUAUUUAUUUAUUUAUUCACUGGCGCCAGAGUCGGGAAUAAAAAAAAAUAUUGAUUUCAUUUAUUUUAUAGCUACGUAAUAUUUACCAACGCCAGAGUUGGAAAUAUUCGUAAUUAAAUAUUCACUGACGUCAGAGUCAUGAAUAUGAUAAUCAAAUUUUCAUAACAUAAACUAAUAAACAUUUAGCAAUUUAAGACGAAACUAGCAAUGCAGCCUGCUUCAGGCAGGAUGUUUAAGGGGUGAUAAUAUCUUCCCUUUUACGUAACCAGUCUCAAACCAUAUAAUCUUUGUUGACCAGUUAGGGUUCCUAGUGACCAUAAUACUAGGUGACGACUCCUUAAACAAGACUAUUCCCCAUUAAAAAACAGGAUGCCAGAAAUUUGUUCUUCCCAAAGAUUUAUUUAAUUUUUUAAGGCCGCCGUGAUGUCGGGUGCGACACCGUUAAUAAUAAUAAAAAAUUGAUUUAGUAUUUCCGACACCGUUAAUAAUAAUAAAAAAUUGAUUUAGUAUUUUGAUCAAAUAGUGUGGAGGACUGGAAAACCAACACACGGAAUCUCAUAGAGCCACCCAAGAGAGACCGGUAGGAAUCCAACUUUGAAAUGAUAUUCGAUAUGAUAUUUCAUUUUCAGAGAUUAUUCAAUACAAUUGGAUUAAUAAAUAUAUUUUAAAAGAUAUUUUAAAAAUAAAAAAAUAAAAUAUAUUAUGUCUGAAAAUAUAGCAUCUCUUCUCUGUAUCUUUUAUUUUAAAAAUAUAAAAUUCAUUGUAAAAUUAUUUCAGAAAUAAAUUCUUCUUUCUUAGUUCGGAUACUUCCUCUCCAAUUUCCCGUUCACACACAAAUGAAUUAUAUAGCCUAUCUUUUCUCCGUUUCACACACAAAUGAAUAUAUGAACGUAAAAUUCUUUCUUAGUUCGGAUACUUCCUCUCUAAUUUCCCAUUGAUAUUUAUUAUUAGUUUUGACCUACUAAUCUCCCGUUGACUAGAAAAAAUGGAAAGGCACAAGGCGUCUAGUACAUACAAACUUGUACUUUUAAGUGUUUGCUUAUAUAUACAUUUUAUAAUAUUGACUUGCAGCUUUACAGCGGCUUAAUAAUAAUUUUAUUUUAAAUAUAAAAUUAUAAAUAUAAUUUUAAUUGUAUUGAAUCCAGCAAUAGCUCUAUCCAAUAAUUUUGGGUUUGGCUCCACUAUACUUGGGUUUGGCUUUGCAUAGGCUUGGAUCUAGUUGCGGUCCUUAGAUCUAUCUCAUAUUACAAUCAUAUAAAAAUAUCAAAAAAUAUUAAUUUAAAAUAAAGAAAAAUUUAAAAAAAUUUAAAAUUUUAAAUGUAUUUUUGAAACGCAAAUAAUACAUGCUUUGAUAAGAAAAUUCAACUCAAUCUAACAAAACAUUAUCAUCACUCAACUUUUGUACAACAUAAAAAAGAUCACAUCAAUUUAUUUGCUCUUUAACAAUAUGAAAAAAUAAAUAAGAGAAAAUAAAAAAAUUUAAGAGGAAAAAAAAUAAAUUAAAAAUAUCUUAAAAAAAUUAGUUGUUAGUGUAUUGAGCACUGUUCUGCUAAGCGUUAUUCAUGAUGUAAUUGUAGAAAAUACUUUAGUUGGAGAUGAUAAUAAUGCAAAUACAUUUCGUGCUUUUAACCUAACUCAAACAUUUUUAUAUUUAAAAUUUUUUGUUAUCGACCCGCUGUGGAGCACAUGCCAAUAUGCUAACUGAUAUAUUAUUAAGUAAUGAUUAUGUUUUAAAAUAUAUUGAAAUAAUAUAUUUUUUAUUUUUAUAUCAUCACAUCAAAAUAAUACAAAAAAUCAAAAAUUAUUAACUUGAAUUAAAUAAAAAAAUAAAUAAUUUCAAAAAAAAUUUAAAAGUAUUUUUGAAAGGAAAAAAGUAACAUGUUUUAAUAAGGAAAUUCAAGCCAACUUGAUAUGAAAAAAUUAUCAUCACCUAAUUUUUAUACAAUAUUAAAAGAGUAAUAUAAAUUUAUUUUUUCUUUACCAUCUAUAAAGAAUUAAAUAAAAAAAACAAAUCUAAAAAUAAAAAAAAUAAAAUAAAAUUAAAAUAUCUAACAUCCCAAUAAAAUUCAAUAGUAUUAGGUCCGGUUUCCUAAUCCCACCUAACAGUGGUGUGCCUGCUGAAAGCAUAUAGACAAAGGUAAGAAAGACCCCACAUCAUGAAAGGUCGACUAUAAUAAUGCAUCUCCAGGCAGCCUACUAAAUAACUCUUGAAGUGGAUUGCAGACUAACGAAGAUGGCUCCUGCACUCUCUGAUAUCUUGAGAAUCAUGUCUAGCUUACUUGUGCUUCUGUUACUAAUGUUUUCCAUGGGAGCAAUUAACUUGGAGGCCCAAAGAUUUGAGCCUUGCUCCUGAUGAAGGUACAUACAUACAUAUAUAUAUAUAUAUAUAUAUAUAUAUAUAUUUAAUUUGAUUUUCAUACACUCUUCGAUAACGCAGUCAUCAAAUGUGAUUGUAUUUCCGAAUUCUGUAACCAUGUUAGUAAUGGCAUCAUGCAGUGAUUUUCUUACAGAAUUCUGUGUUUUCUGCAAACAUUUCUUGGCAAGGCAUUGUAGAAGCCACCAGCUAAUCAUCCCAGAAUUAGAAGUUGAGAUUUAAUUUUGAUUUAUGCAGUGGAAGCUCUACUUGAAGUAGCAACACAACUGGGCAAAAAAGGCUGGAAUCGCAAUAUGAAACUGUGCAAUGAUACAAUUUUACCUCCAAAGCCAGAUGCUGACAAUAAAGUUGUUUGCAACUGCUCGUUUCCUGGGGGUGUGGGCCGUGUUAUUGCCAUGUAUAUCUCUUCACUUACCACUCCAUGCUUUUAUUUUCAAUUUUAAUUUGAGGUCUGAAGGAUUCUGAUGGGGCCAGUUCAGGGAAUGGAGGAAUAGUUGUGGUGUAUAAAGUCUCCUCAGAAACCCCAUUUCGAUUGUUGAAUUUUAUAUUAAGAAAUUCGGAUAAAUUCAUUAGCAAUAAAAUUAUCUAAAAACAAGUAUGAUAAGGAUAUCAAGGAAAACUUAAUCAUGUGGAAAAUGUCGUGAAUAGCAAAGAAAGGAUCUCCAGCAAAGAAAAUUGAGCAUCUGUCAGAAGUUUAGUCUUAAGAGUUUGAAGAAAAGCUGAGUUUGUCGGAAAAUAAUAUAAAUAUUUUCAUAUCUUGAGAUCUCGAAUCUCUAAGCUUUCACUUGGAAAGUGUUUAGGAAAUAAUAUAAACCUUACAGUUUAAGUCAAAAAUUUGGUUUUCUAUUCCAUUGGCUGUUUGUAGUUAUGUCUUAUAUUUUCUUGACAUAUGAUUGUUGAUUUGCAAUGGUUGAAAGUUUUGAAUUCUUACCUUGUAGUGAGGAAUUGAUGGGUCCAUGUGUUCUUGCAAUGCAGAUAUCUCAAAAGGCAAGAUCUUGAUGGUAGUCUCCCAAAGGCUAUAGAGAAACUACCACAACUUAAACAUCUGUAAGCAGCGCUUCAAAUUACUACAUUUCUACAGAUUGAGUACCGUGAAUUUGCAUCGAAUGAUUCGAUUUUAUUAGAAUUAUAUCUGCUCUGCAGAGAUCUCUGGGCCAACUACCUGAGUGGCAAUAUACCACCUGAAUGGGCUAAUACCAAGCUGGAAUUACUGUAAGAAAAUACUGCAUUCAUGUUUUGUAGCCAAGGAAUUGCUUACUCAUAAUUAAUAGAUUGUAUAAACAACAGGUCUAUCGGCGUGAAUCAAUUGACAGGAAAAAUCCCUAGCUAUCUGGGAAAUAUCACCACACUUAGAGCAUUGUAUGCAUUUUUCUACUUGUCAAUUUCUUGUCUUUUAAUUUUAUAAUUAAAUCUGUUCAAUUGUUUAGUCAGGAGUAAUCCUGAGAGUUGGCAUUUAUGCAGGAACAUUCAGAACAAUAUGUUUUCAGGAACUGUUCCCUCUGAGCUUGGAGGCUUGGUUAACCUGGAGAAUCUGUCAGUUCAUUCAACCUUUUGCGUUUGAAAUUAAGUCCUAACUGAUUAUUGAAUGCUAAGUGUUUUUCUCCUUUUGUGAUUGCAGAACUCUCAGUGCCAAUAAUCUCACUGGAGAGUUACCCCAGGCUCUCACUAAGCUGACCGGAUUGAAGGAACUGUAGGUUCUCAUUUCACAUGGUUAUUGUGCAUCAUACUCAUUAGUUGCAGUAUUUGAUAUUUACUUUCCAAGUUUCUUGAUUCUGUGUUUUCCGUUCGGCGAAUGCAGAAGGCUUAGCAGCAAUAACUUCACUGGAAGAAUACCUUAUUUUAUUCAGAGCUGGAAACAACUUGAUACAUUGUAUGUGCUAGUUUCUAACAAGAAGUUCUGAAUCUCAUCAGUGAAGCAGAACCCUAAUCCCCCUUUAAUUUUGUAUUAACAGAGAGAUCCAAGCUGGUGGUUUCACUGGACCCAUUCCUUCAAGCAUCUCUCUCUUGACUAAUCUAACUGAUCUGUAAGAUAUUUGUUUUAAAUUUAUGGUCCCAGUUACAAGUUUAAUCCUGAACAUCUCACAUUUUUAUGUUGCCUACUAUUGAGCAGAAAAAUAAGUAACUUACUUGGAGAUGGUUCAGAGUUUCCCAACCUAGAAUCUAUAGCAGGCAUUAAGUAUCUGUGAGUUAUUCUUGCAGCUGAUACUCUCAUACCAGGAUCAUAUUUAAUUUACAACACAGUAUAUAUUUAGCUUACAUGAAAUUAAUGUAUAUUGCAGGCUAUUGAGCAACUGCAACUUGUCAGGAAAUUUUCCCAUAUAUUUGACCGGAAUGGCACAGCUGAAAAUUUUGUAAUUCACUCUGUCCCUUAUACAUCAUCCAUUGUGUCAUUCAUCUACAUGAAGAUUGAAGUGUGAAUCUCAUGGAUACUUAGAGCUGCUGUCUUUAGAUUGCAGCUACAUUAUUAUUUGUAAAUAACUUUCAAAAUGCAUUAUGAACCAGGGAUCGCAGUUUUGGUCUUUAAUUUAUUUUUUUUCCUUCUUUUCGAAAACAGGGAUCUCAGUUUCAACAGAUUAAAUGGUUCUCUUCCAACAAAUUUUGAUGGCCUAAAAAGCUUGGAGAAAAUGUAAGUAUACUAUAUUAUAUUACCUUCUGAAAUUAAUGUUUGCCAUAUGAAAGCAUAAUUAUUAAACCUAGACAAGUUGACAUAGAAAGUUCAGGACUCGGAGCCGAGAUUCCAAUUGAACCAUACAAGACAUUGAACUGCCAAACCUGAUGGGUCAAUAUGCAUUUGCUUAAAUAAAAAAGUUGACUUAAAAAAGUACGACAAAUAUGUUCAACCAAAUGAACUUGUUCUCCAGAUAGUCUUUUGCAAUGAUAGCCUUGGACAAAUGUUCAACCAAAUGAGUUGCUUUUUUUUUUUCUGCGUUCUCCCUUGUCUUUUUUUCUCCGUGCUGUUGCUUGUGCUAUUAUUGGAGAACGAAGAUGAAGAUGAUGGUGAUGGUUAGGGAUGUUUGUUUGGCUGAGAGUGGAGGCCAAGGCUGGUGUGGUGGUGGUCUUGGUAUCAAGCCAGGGAGAAGAAGAGAAAAAAAAAACUGAAGGGGGCGUUUAAUGUCUAGUCUGAGACCAGGGAAGAAGAGAGAAAAAAAGCUGGGGGGAGGGGGCAGCGGCGGCUAGUGAUUCGGCCGCGCCCCUAUUUUUUUUUUAAAAAUGUCUUUAUUUAUUUAUUUUUUUGUAGGGUUUCUAGUAAUGGUUUUCUCCUAGAGUUUCCUCUGCCUCCUCUUCUGCAUGCACUGAGAUCUAUAUUUAGGUAAGGGUUAUCUUAAAGAUAAGGAUAAAAUAAUAAAAACAUAUUAUAAUCUCUAGUAUUCGUGCAAGCUAACAAAUCAUAUUUUUCAUUGAAAUAAAUUUUUAAUAUUUUAAUUAUAUAUUUUAAACCCCGUAAAAUAAAAUUAAAACCAAUAAACCAAAAUUAGGUUACAACACAAAUCAUGAGCUCAAAUGAUUUCAGAUGAAAAUCGAAUUUCCCAACUUGAAAUAAGCAAAUUAAAGGUUUGCCUUUGGAAACCCAAAAGUUGCUCCAACAAUUAGUGUCUGCAUUCUCUAAAGUAAAAGAAGAAUCCUCUCUGUAAGAAAAACAAAUUUUGAUCAAGACAAGUAACCUUGAGCUUUACAUAUCAAUAGAUCCAAAUCUUUCAAAAUCCAAAGAGGUUGUAGUUUCAAAUCCAGAUGCUUCUCUUCAAACCGUUUUCCCAAACAAAUAGGCAGUGAUAUCAAAAACUCCUCAAAAUAAUUUUCAAAGAAAAACAAUUUUUAGUAAUAUUUUUCAUAAAACAAUUUUCAAAAGAUUUGACAUGAGUUUCACCCAUAAAUAUAAAAACCGACCUGACCCGAGAGUUGAAGUGAGACCUAGGCAACCCGGGGUCUCGGCCGCGUUUUAAAUAGUCUAAACUCGGGUGACUCGACAUAACCCGGGUGAGACCUAAACUCUUUUUUUUUUCCUUUAUAUUUUUGUUUAAUAAACCUAAAAAAUAUAAAGUUAAUUUGUGAAUACUUGGUCUCACAUAUGUUUUUAUAGCCUAUACCUUAUAAAAUGUUUCGUAAUCUUUUCAUGUGGGAUAUAUAUAUAGACACACACACACCAUUCAACAGCCCAAAUACUCAGCAUUAAUCAUCCCUAGAAUGGCCUAAAGGACCAAAUUCCUUCCCAAAAUUAUAGUAUAAACUAAAAAAAGAAAGAGGUUUUAUUGUUAAUUAUUGUUCAUCAACGUGGAUUUUAAUAGUGAAUUUUUUGAAAUUUUCAAUUUGAUUUUGUUAUUAUCUAUUUUUAGGUCCCCACACAAAAAAAAAAAUCAAAACCUUUGUCGGAAGAAAACCAAUAAAUAUAUAACAGUGAAAAGAGGACACAGGGUACCCAGAAAAUGACCAAAGAUUGGUUGAGGAAGUUCAAAAAUACAAAGAUUAAAAUUGACAGUAUUUUUUACUGAUGAAGGCUCUAUUGAUAAAGAAAAUUCAAUUUAAGGAAGAAAAAUUUUAAAUUAGAUGUUUAAGGAACCAAUUAGAAUUUGUUUAAGGUCUAAUUGAAUUUAUGAAGGAUUUAAUUGCAAGAAAAUUGAUUUUUUAAAAUCAAUUUAGGCUUUAAUUGAAAGAAAUUAAAGAUUAGGGGUCACAUCACAAUUUUUAAGAUUUAAUUUGGUCAAAUCAAAGACUUAAUUGUGUAAAUAUUGAAGUUUGAUGGGCAAUUAGGGAUUGUUUUGAAGAAAUCCAAAACUAAGGACCAAACUGGAAAAUAAGCUAAUAUAAGGGUUGAAAUUGACUGAAUCAAGGGCUAAAUUAAAGAAAUUGAAAGUUUGUUGAAUAAUUGAGGGUCAAAAUGCACAAAUUCAAAACCAAGGAUUAAAGUGAAAAAGGGAACUAACUUCAAAGCUAACAUUUAAAUUUGGCAGGGAUACAAUUGAAUUGAUUCUUAAAACCAAAAUCUCAAUUGAGGACUGAUUUGGAAACAAAGAUUUUUUGGCAUCAUUUUUUUUAAAAUUAAACAACAAAUUUUGUACAAAAUAACAUCGUUUCAUUUACUAUUAUAUAUAUAUAUAUAUAUAUAUAUAUAUAUAAAGACAAAACGAUGCCAUUUCGAUGGCAUUACUUGCCAUCUUCUUCUCCUAGAUGCGCUGCAGGCAGGACAAGAAGGUCUUUCCCCCUUGUUGCACCCUCGCAAGAGUGCAGUGUUGCGGCGACCCUUUCCAGGAGUGGAGAAUGAUGUUAGGGUCUUUGUUUUGUGAAAAAAGAAGUCGCUACCUAGUAUUAUAGUCAUUAGAAAACCUAACUGGUUUUUUAGAGAUUCUAAAGCAAGAGAUUGGUUGUGUAAAAGAAAGGUUUUAACACCCCUAGUACGCCUACCUAAGGUAAGCUGUUUGGUGUUUGGUUUACCUUAUAAUUUCUAUGGUGUUGAUGUUCUCUAAUUCCAUCAGUGCUUCUAAUGUGCUUGUUGUUGCCUAAACUUAUGAUAUUCACUAUUAUAUGUUAAGGUGGUAAAAGAAAACUAAUCCAAACAACCAUUUGUUCUACAAGCAGUAUAGAAUGAUGGAGAAUGCUCUAUGUAUUAGGAAAUAUAUAUUCAUUCAAAGCGAAUAUAUUUUACUUAAUGUAAUUUUCCUGUAAUUAUUUUUAGUUUCCUUUUACACUUAGACUACUUAUAAUAAAAAAGCAUAAUUAUACCAACUCUCUUGUAUAAAGUAGAUGUUUCCUAAUACAAAAAAAUACAUACAAAUUUCUAUUUUAUUUUCCUUACAUGGUAUUAGAGUUAGGUUCAAUAACCUAGCCUUUCUAAUAAUUCUUUUUUUUUUUCAUGCUAAUAUCAAUCAUCAUAGAGGAACAUCAACCAUUGAACAACAAUCCAUAUUUUUUGUACCAUUCAGAUCAUCCAGAUAUGGUGCUUAUCUCAAAGCCUCUUAUAUGAUGCAUGACCACAAUGAUUUUAUUGAAUGCCAAAUCCAAGCUAGGUUUUAUAAAUGGAACCAUUUCCAUGUCAUUGAAACAAACAAGCUAGAUGAAUAUGCCUCAUGGAAAAAAAUACAAUAAUAUUUUUUAUUUUUUAGAUUCUUAAUUCACUCAAAUAAGACAUUGCAGACAAUGUUUUUUCAACCACAACACAAGAAGUAUAGGAAGACUUAGAGAUCGUUUUCACAAGGCAAUGCUCUUUGUAUUUUUCAAAUUGAAUGAUGAGAUAUUUCUUGCUUUGCUCAAGGUCAGUUGAUUAUUGCGGCUUACUAUAGAAAAAAAAAACUAUGAGAUGAAUUGGAAUCCUAUAAUAAUACCAUCUAUAUAUCCUAUAAGAAAAACCCUAGUCAUUUUCAAUCCCGGUGAAAAUUCAUAUAGAAAGAAAAUAAAAAAUAACGAAGUCUAAUCUCAAAUAAAAUAAAUAUCAAUACAUGAAACUAAAAAAAACAUGAGCUUAAAAAUUGAAAAAAACAACCAAACAAAUUCAGGAAAAUCUCCUAAACCUAAGUUAAUCUUCCCAAUCCGCAACUCGUGAAAUCCUCAACCCAUGCUUCAUCAAUAAGCUCAAUUUCCAGCUAAUUUAAUGUUCAAGGAUGAAAUUGAAAAAAAAAAUCAAAUUAAAAAAUUUAUCAAAGUAUAAAAAAUAACAAUUACAAGCAUAUGAAUCAAAUCUUGUAGGAAAAAAAAACUGAAGGAGAAUGAAAUCCUAAAAAAAUCAAUUUUAAAAACCAUCUCGGAUAAAAUAAAUAAUAAUCCAAUUAUAUAAAGAUGGACCAAAUUGGAAGGAAAAUCAAAUUAAAUGGUUGCUUUGAAAAUUUAAAGGGUUAAAUAUGGAAACCAAAGAAAAAAAAAGUGAAAAAAAGACUGAGUGAGUCAAUCCAAAGGUCUGUUGGCCAUACACUUUGCUUAGGGAUGCAGAGGCUAUCAAGAUGACUUGAAUGGCUACCCAUAAAUCAUUGUUAGAUUGCCAAACACCAAUAUGUGCAAUGCAUAUAUGAAUCACUUUGUUUUAUUAAUAUUAAUAUUUGUUAAAUGACUAAAUUACUUUUAAGUUAACUUGAUUACGGAAAAAAAAACAAUGAUAAAAUAUUAAAAUACUCAUAAAUAUCAGUCAAAUAAAUUUUUCUUAGAAGGAUAUAUUUUUAAUUAAGAAUAGAAAAACAUAGAUUUUUUUUUAAAAAAAAACAAAGACACAAAAUAAGAAAAGAAAAUAUGAAUUUUGUGAGAUGAUAUAAAGUAAAAACAUUAUCUCUUUGAUGAUGAUGAUGUAGGCAUUAUACCUUUAUUAUACCUUUUUAAAAGUGAUUUUUAUUUGAAAACAUAUUAAAAUAAUAUUUUUAUAUAUUAUUUUUUUUUGUUAUUUUUAAUAUUAAUAUAUUAAAAUUAUUAAAAAUACGAAAAAAAUAUAUAAAUUUAAUAUUUUUUAAAACAAAUAUAUUUUUAAAAAGUAUAUAAAAACAUUACACUUCCAAACAGAUUGUUAGUUUUUAUUUAUUUAAUUUUUUUUUAAUGGUUAUCAUGAAUUUAGAUGGAAGCAGGAUAUGUUGUCCUGGCAUGGGCACUGAAUUACCUGGAUUUAUUUUCGACAUAUGAUCAUGUUGGAAGGCAUUAAAUUUAUACCUAAUAAUAUUUCUCAUAUCAUUUUUAGAAAGUAAUAUAAACAUGUUUGUUGGGUUUUAUCUAGUAGUUUUAAUCUUAGCUUGAGGUUAUUUUUUAACAAAAUAAUAUAAUUUUAACAACUGAAUAUUAUCUAUUUUUAAAUUUUAUUGUCCAAUUUUUUUAUUAAAUUAAUAAAAUUAAACACAAAAUAGUAAUACAAAUUCCUAGUUUAAUACAGUUUUAUUUCGGAAAAUAUAUUAAAAAAUAAUAUAAAUUCAUUAAUUAAAUAAUUUUUAGAAAUAAUUAUUUAAUCCCAAUAUUUUAUAUUCAUUUAUAAUUUCAUCCUUUUUGUCCAUGUCAUAUUCGUUUUCAUUUUGUUUUGAUUUUAAGAAAUAAGUACUUAGGAUAGAAAGUUUGAUAAUAAAAGGCAUUUUCUGAAGUAAAAUACUAUUAAAUUAAACAUGGUAAACACUAAAACAGUAAUGAUUUAAUUAUUUUUUAUAUGACAGCAAUUAAUUAAUUUAUUUUAUUAAACAAUAAACACUAAAUUCUAAUUAAUCAUUAAUUAAUGAAAAACAUUUCUGAUACCCUCUUCUAUUUUGAUGUAGGCAUCGAGUUAUUGCCUCAAAUUUGCAUGCCUACUCGAAUUGGAAAUUAGAUAGCAUUUUAAGGCCUAUGUUAAUUUUUUCUUUUAUCAGAGUCAAAAGAUUUACAGUCGUAUAUUAAUUAUUUAAUUUGCGUAUGAUAUAAUUUAGGAGAGAGGAGAAAGAGAACCGAGAGGGACUGGGGGAGAGAAACAAAACCAGGGAAGAUUUUGGUCCAUCAACCAGCAGCACCUCGUGCUGUUACCACCAUCGUCUUUGUCUUGAACGGAGAAGACUGGGCAGAGAAACAAGGGGGGAGGAGAAAAUAAACUGACUUUCGUUCCUCUGUUUCUUCUCAAGGAAACAGAGAAGAUUAAAGAAAAAAAAGCAACGAACAGAGGGAGGGAGAUUAUACAGAGGAGAGAGCAAACUUUGGAAAAGCGGAGGAACGACACAGAGACGAGGAGCAGCCCCGCCAUCGUCUGUCCCUUCAUCUCAGAACUGACGGUGACAGAAUCUAAAACCAGGAGCAAAGGAGACGCAAACUCAGCCCAUCGGACGAAAGCACAGAGACGAGAACCGCGUAAAAUUUAAUUAGCCUUGCAUGCAUGCUUGGUGCGUGCCUUUGCCCAGCCGGGUCACUGGCUUGGGCCAGUGACCGGGCUGGGCCAGCUGGGUCCAGCCCAGCUCAUGUGGGCCCAGCCAAAAAAUAAAAAAAUAAAACAAGUAGAAAAAAAAUAAAAAAAUGUGUAUGCACAAAUAAGAAUAAUGUAAAUUUAUUGGGUUAUUCACUGACGCCAGAGUCAGGAAUAAAAAUACCGGUUUAAAUUUAUAUUAUUUUUAUUCGUUGUAUUUUAUUUUAUUUAGCUCGAAAAAUAAAAAAUAUAUGCAUGUAUGCACAAAUAAGAAUAAUGUAAAUUUAUUGGGUUAUUCACUGACGCUAGAGUCAGGAAUAAAAAUACCGGUUUAAAUUUAUAUUAUUUUUAUUCGUUGUAUUUUAUUUUAUUUAGCUAGAAAAAAUAAAAAUAUGUGCAUGCAUAAAAAUAAAAUUAUAUUAUUUAUUUAUUUAUUCACUGGCGCCAGAGUCGGGAAUAAAAAAAAAUAUUGAUUUCAUUUAUUUUAUAGCUACGUAAUAUUUACCAACGCCAGAGUUGGAAAUAUUCGUAAUUAAAUAUUCACUGACGUCAGAGUCAUGAAUAUGAUAAUCAAAUUUUCAUAACAUAAACUAAUAAACAUUUAGCAAUUUAAGACGAAACUAGCAAUGCAGCCUGCUUCAGGCAGGAUGUUUAAGGGGUGAUAAUAUCUUCCCUUUUACGUAACCAGUCUCAAACCAUAUAAUCUUUGUUGACCAGUUAGGGUUCCUAGUGACCAUAAUACUAGGUGACGACUCCUUAAACAAGACUAUUCCCCAUUAAAAAACAGGAUGCCAGAAAUUUGUUCUUCCCAAAGAUUUAUUUAAUUUUUUAAGGCCGCCGUGAUGUCGGGUGCGACACCGUUAAUAAUAAUAAAAAAUUGAUUUAGUAUUUCCGACACCGUUAAUAAUAAUAAAAAAUUGAUUUAGUAUUUUGAUCAAAUAGUGUGGAGGACUGGAAAACCAACACACGGAAUCUCAUAGAGCCACCCAAGAGAGACCGGUAGGAAUCCAACUUUGAAAUGAUAUUCGAUAUGAUAUUUCAUUUUCAGAGAUUAUUCAAUACAAUUGGAUUAAUAAAUAUAUUUUAUAAAGAUAUUUUAAAAAUAAAAAAAUAAAAUAUAUUAUGUCUGAAAAUAUAGCAUCUCUUCUCUGUAUCUUUUAUUUUAAAAAUAUAAAAUUCAUUGUAAAAUUAUUUCAGAAAUAAAUUCUUCUUUCUUAGUUCGGAUACUUCCUCUCCAAUUUCCCGUUCACACACAAAUGAAUUAUAUAGCCUAUCUUUUCUCCGUUUCACACACAAAUGAAUAUAUGAACGUAAAAUUCUUCUUUCUUAGUUCGGAUACUUCCUCUCUAAUUUCCCAUUGAUAUUUAUUAUUAGUUUUGACCUACUAAUCUUCCCGUUGACUAGACAAAAAAUGGAAAGGCACAAGGCGUCUAGUACAUACAAACUUGUACUUUUAAGUGUUUGCUUAUAUAUACAUUUUAUAAUAUUGACUUGCAGCUUUACAGCGGCUUAAUAAUAAUUUUUAUUUUAAAUAUAAAAUUAUAAAUAUAAUUUUAAUUGUAUUGAAUCCAGCAAUAGCUCUAUCCAAUAAUUUUGGGUUUGGCUCCACAUAUACUUGGGUUUGGCUUUGCAUAGGCUUGGAUCUAGUUGCGGUCCUUAGAUCUAUCAUCAUAUUACAAUCAUAUAAAAAUAUCAAAAAAUAUUAAUUUAAAAUAAAGAAAAAUUUAAAAAAAUUUAAAAAUUUUUAAAUGUAUUUUUGAAACGCAAAAAUAAACAUGCUUUGAUAAGAAAAUUCAACUCAAUCUAACAAAACAUUAUCAUCACUCAACUUUUGUACAACAUAAAAAAGAUCACAUCAAUUUAUUUGCUCUUUACAAUAUGAAAAAAUAAAUAAGAGAAAAUAAAAAAAAUUUAAGAGGAAAAAAAUAAAAUUAAAAAUAUCUUAAAAAAAUUAGUUGUUAGUGUAUUGAGCACUGUUCUGCUAAGCGUUAUUCAUGAUGUAAUUGUAGAAAAUACUUUAGUUGGAGAUGAUAAUAAUGCAAAUACAUUUCGUGCUUUUAACCUAACUCAAACAUUUUUAUAUUUAAAAUUUUUUUGUUAUCGACCCGCUGUGGAGCACAUGCCAAUAUGCUAACUGAUAUAUUAUUAAGUAAUGAUUAUGUUUUUAAAAUAUAUUGAAAUAAUAUAUUUUUUAUUUUUUAUAUCAUCACAUCAAAAUAAUACAAAAAAUCAAAAAAUUAUUAACUUGAAUUAAAUAAAAAAAUAAAUAAUUUCAAAAAAAAUUUAAAGUAUUUUUGAAAGGAAAAAAGUAACAUGUUUUAAUAAGGAAAUUCAAGCCAACUUGAUAUGAAAACAAAUUAUCAUCACCUAAUUUUUAUACAAUAUUAAAAGAGUAAUAUAAAUUUAUUUUUUCUUUACCAUCUAAUAAAAGAAUUAAAUAAAAAAACAAAUCUAAAAAUAAAAUAAAAUAAAAUUAAAAAUAUCUAACAUCCCAAUAAAAUUCAAUAGUAUUAGGUCCGGUUCCUAAUCCCACCUAACAGUGGUGUGCCUGCUGAAAGCAUAUAAGACAAGGUAAGAAAGACCCCACAUCAUGAAAGGUCGACUAUAAUAAUGCAUCUCCAGGCAGCCUACUAAAUAACUCUUGAAGUGGAUUGCAGACUAACGAAGAUGGCUCCUGCACUCUCUGAUAUCUUGAGAAUCAUGUCUAGCUUACUUGUGCUUCUGUUACUAAUGUUUUCCAUGGGAGCAAUUAACUUGGAGGCCCAAGAUUUGAGCCUUGCUCCUGAUGAAGGUACAUACAUACAUAUAUAUAUAUAUAUAUAUAUAUAUAUAUAUUUAAUUUGAUUUUCAUACACUCUUCGAUAACGCAGUCAUCAAAUGUGAUUGUAUUUCCGAAUUCUGUAACCAUGUUAGUAAUGGCAUCAUGCAGUGAUUUUCUUACAGAAUUCUGUGUUUUCUGCAAACAUUUCUUGGCAAGGCAUUGUAGAAGCCACCAGCUAAUCAUCCCAGAAUUAGAAGUUGAGAUUUAAUUUUGAUUUAUGCAGUGGAAGCUCUACUUGAAGUAGCAACACAACUGGGCAAAAAGGGCUGGAAUCGCAAUAUGAAACUGUGCAAUGAUACAGAUGCUGACAAUAAAGUUGUUUGCAACUGCUCAUUUCCUGGGGGAGCGUGCCACGUUGUUGCCAUGUAUAUUUCUUCACUUACAACUCCAUGCUUUUAUUUUCAGUUUUAAUUUGAGGUCUCAAGGAUUCUGAUGGGGCUAAUUGAAGGAAUUAACAAAAUAUUACACUAUUGUUUUUUAAUUUUACUUUUCAAUAAUUUAAUAUCUUUUUUAAAAAAAAUUAAUUUUAAUACUAGAUUGUUUUAUGAAUUUUGCUUCAUAAUUUUCCUCGAUUCUUUUUAUUAGUAAUAUAGUGAUGUCAUGGAUUUAAAUUUUUUCUCAAUUUUAAUAUUAAAUAUGUUUUUAAUGAAAUUUUUAUUUUUUUAUGAAUUUAUUUUAAUUUAAUGAUGCAAGUUACAAGUUUAACAAAUUAACCCGGAUUUAAUUUUUCAAUUUUUUUGUCUGUUUUUAAUUUAAUAUUUUUUAAUUGGGCUUAGUCAUUUUUUUAUUUAAUUUCUGUAAGGUUAUAUCUUUAUUUUUUUUUUACCCUUCUACAACUGAUUUUUAUUUUAAAAUUUUAUCCUUCAUUAUUCGGCUUUUUGAAAAUCGAGUUUUGUAGUUUUUUUUUAAUUUGAUUUCUGUUGAGUUAUUUCGGUCUAAAUGAUUUGAUUUUUUUUCUUCGAUUUCAACUUUCAACAUUAGAUCUAUUACAAAUGGAGCUUUGUAAUUUUUUUAUUUGUUUUUUAUGACGUUAUUUUGUCUCUUGUCCUAAGUUACAAGUUUAAUAGGUUAGCUCGGGUUAAUUUAGGAAUUGUUUUUGUUAUUUUUAAUUGAUUUUUUAUACAAUUUCAACCUCUAACAUUGGGUUGGUUGAAAAUUGAUCUUCAUAUUUUUUUUUUAAUUUUUUUUUAUUGGGUUAUCUUGAUCUCAUGACUCGAGUUGUGGGUUUAGAGGUUGACCAUGGUUGACUUGGGUAGCUUUUUUUGUUCUUUUGUUUUCUAUUUUAUCCUUCAACAAUAUUGGGUUCAUUAGUAAUUGACCUUUAUAAUUUAUUUAUUUUUUUCUAUAAGGUAAACAUGAUCAAUUUAAUAUGUUAUUGUCUUAAUAUUUGAAAAAAACAAUAAUCCAAUAUAUCACCGAAUAAAUAUUUAAAAAAUAUGUCAUUUAAUAUGCAUUAUAUUUGAAGUUAAAAUAUAAUUUUUUUAUUAGAAAACAUAUUAAUAAUGCUUAAAUAGUUUUUUAUGCUAAAAAAAUAAUCCGUAGCACCGGAAAAUAAUACAGUAGAGGACUAUUUGUGGUGGAUUAAAUCUCCUCAUAAACCCCAUUCGAUAGUUGAAUUUUAUUUUGAGAAACUCAGAUGCAAUUCAAUAGCAGUAAAAUUAUAUAAAAACAAGCUAAACAUGUAGUGAAUAGCAAAGAAAGGAUCUGCAGCGAAGAAAAUGGUCUGUCUUGUAUUUUCUUGACAUAUGAUUGUUGAUUUGCAAUGGUUGAAAGUUUUGAAUUCUUACCUUGUAUUGAGGAGUUGAUGGGUGCAUGUGUUCUUGCAAUGCAGAUAUCUCAAAAGGCAAGAUCUUGACGGUACUCUCCCGAAGGCUAUCGAGAAACUUCCACACCUUAAACAUCUGUAAGCAGUGCUUCAAAUAAAUACAUUUGUACAGAUUGAGCACCGUGCAUUUGCAUUGAAUGAUUCGAUUUUAUUAUAAUUAUAUCUGCUCUGCAGAGAUCUCUGGGCCAACUACCUGAGUGGCAAUAUACCUGAAUGGGCUAAUACCAAGCUGGAAAUAUUGUAAGAAAAUACUGCAUUCAUGUUUUCUAGCCAAGGAAUUGCUUACUCAUAAUCAAUAGAUUGUAUAAACAACAGGUCUAUCGGCGUCAAUAACUUGACAGGAAAGAUUCCUGGCUAUCUGGGAAAUAUCACCACACUCAGAGCAUUGUAUGCAUUUUUCUGACUAGUCAAUUUCUUGUCUUUUAAUUUUAUAUUUAAAUAAGUUCAAUUGUUUAGUCAGGAGUAAUCCUGAGAGUUGGCAUUUAUGCAGCAACAUUCAGAACAAUAUGUUUUCUGGAACUGUUCCCCCUGAGCUUGGAGGCUUGGUUAACCUGGAGAAUCUGUCAGUUCAUUCAACCUUUUGAAUUUGAAAUUAAGUCCUAACUGAUUAUUGAAUGCUAAGUGUUUUUCUCCUUUUGUGAUUGCAGAACUCUCAGUGCCAAUAAUCUCACUGGAGAGUUACCCCCGGCUCUUAUUAAUCUGACCGGAUUGAAGGAACUGCAGGUUCUCAUUUCUCAUGGUUAUUGUGCAUCAUACUCAUUAGUUGCAGUAUUUUAUAUUUACUCUCCAAGUUUCAUGAUUCUGUGUUUUCCGUUCGGCGAAUGCAGAAGGCUUAGCAGCAAUAACUUCACUGGAAGAAUACCUGAUUUUAUUCAGAGCUGGAAACAACUUGAUACAUUGUAUGUGCUAGUUUCUACCACAAGCUCUGAAUCUCAUCACCGAAGCAGAACCCUAACCCCCCUUUAAUUUUGUAUUAACAGAGAGAUCCAAGCUGGUGGUUUCACUGGACCCAUUCCUUUGAACAUCUCUGUCUUGACUACUCUAACUGAUCUGUAAGAUAUUUGUUUUAAAUUUAUGGUCCCAGUUACAAGUUUAAUCCCAAACAUUAACAUUUUUAUGUUGUCUAAUAUUGAGCAGAAAAAUAAGUAACUUACUUGGAGAUGGUUCAGAGUUUCCCAACCUAGAAUCUAUAAAAGGCAUUAAGUAUCUGUGAGUUAUUCUCGCAGCUGAUACUCUCAUACCAGGAUCAAUUUAAUUUACAACACAGUAUAUAUUUAGCUUACAUGAAAUUAAUGUAUAUUGCAGGCUAUUGAGCAACUGCAACUUGUCAGGAAAGUUUCCCAUAUAUUUGACCAGAAUGGCACAGCUGAAAAUUUUGUAAUUUACUCUAUCCCUUAUACAUCAUCCUUUGUGUCAUUCAUCUACAUGAAGAUUGAAGUGUGAAUCUCAUGGAUACUUAGAGCUGCUGUCUUUAGAUUGCAGCUACAUUAUUAUUUGUAAAUAACUUUCAAAAUGCAUUAUGAACCAGGGAUCUCAGUUUCAACAGAUUAAAUGGUUCUCUUCCAACAAAUUUUGAUGGCCUAGAAGGCUUGGAGAAAAUGUAAGUAUAUUAUAUUAUAUUACCUUCUGAAAUUAAUGUUUGCCAUAUGGGUCAAUAUGCAUUUGCUUAGAUAAAAAAGUUGGCUCAAUCCUUUUUUCAAGUUUGUCGCCAGGUCGAGUACAACAAAUAUGAUGAUAAAUAUGAUGAUAAACUUGUUCUCCAGAUAGUCUUCUGCAAUGAUAGCCUUGGACAAGUGUUCAACCAAAUGACCAUUCUUACUUUCUGCAUAGGUAUCUUACAUGGAACAUGCUUACAGGACCCAUCCCAAAUUGGAUCAACGAAAGAGGUCCUCGCGUGUAUGUUAGUUUUUUUUUUUUUUUUUUUUACAAAUUAUGAUUUUUGAGAUUUUUGUUCGUAAUAUAUUUUCUUUUUACUCAAUUAGAAUUAUUGAAUAUUUUAUUAAUUAACUCUCCCCUGAAAGACAGAAAUGAUCAUCAACUUCAGUUUGCCUUUAUCGUAACAUUCUCAACCCAAAAGCUUAAUCAUGAACUUCAGGUUUCCAGAUAGUUUUCAGUACAGUUGUGCAUGAAUGAUCAAACUAUCUCCAAGGUUUCAUUUGGUUAUUGUCCUUUCUGUCCAAGCUAUACUGAUAGAAAGGAUAAAUACAGCAGGGACAAAAAUGGUUUUGUUGCAGUGAUGAAGAUGAAGAUAUAAAAAUAAAUUUGUCUCUGAGAUAAUUUUGGAUUGAAUUUUUAAAUGUUAAAAUUAGAAAAGACACGAGGUGAAGACAUGUCCUUUCUGUCUUCAUCUCUUCUGUCUAUUCAUCUUUUUUGUCUUGAGAUGGUAACCAAAAGCCAACCGAUUGCAAUAUCUUCCAAGUAUCUGUCUAUAAUAUGUGCAUGCGAUUUUCUAAAAAUUUCUGAAGUACUGGCUGAAUGUUUAAGGAAGCUAUCUUUGUGUGUAGCGAAAUCGAUCUUUCUUACAACAAUUUUACUUCGGAAGCAAAAUGUAGAGAAACACGGUAAGAUUGAUUUCAUUUUCCUUGCCUUAUCUUUGAUUUUGAAAGUCUGCUUCUUUUUACAUCACCAUUCACUUCAUAACCUACAAAACUUGACUCUUCUUGUCUUGCCAGAAAUCUGUUCAAAAGUACUUGGGGAGGGAACUAUUCGUAAGCUUCUACUUUAAUAGAUAUCUAAAACAUAGAUCAUUUUAUUUUCUUCUUCUCUGUCAUUUCUUUUAAAUAAGCUGAUGAUUCUAUCUGGCCAAUCUUUCCAGGAAACCUGUUGAGUGCCUGAGUGCUUGUUUAGAAGGUACUCUUAAUUUGUAAAGCUAUCCGCUUUUUCAUUUCACCUGGAACUAGACAGAAAAAUGAUGCAGGAACAGCCUGUCAGCCUAGACUAUUAAUUUAUUUCUCUAUUCAUUGGAUCAUAGCAUCUCAGUCAUAAACGCAAUGGUCCUUUUACCCCAUCAUGGAUCCGACCACUAGGAUUUCCAUCCCAAGAGGAAGAUGCUCUGCAUCAUCAACCUCUGGAAAGAAAUCGAAUCUAAGACCUUCAACUGGUGUAGGAAUAAACAACCAGUUGAUCCCAAAAGCCUAGACAAAUGUUAACAGUCAAGCUUAUUCCUAUAUUCAGUAGAUACUAUUGUCUCUGUCAUAAAUAUAAAGGUCCUAUUAUGUGUGGACCAUCCCAUCGGCCUUUGUGUGGGCAUUUACAUUGUGGGUCGCACAACGAUUUCCACUCUAGGAGGAAAAGGAUGCUCCUGCAUCACAAAAUCUUAAUUUGCUUUUGUGUUUGAUUGUUUCUGUUCUGUUUGCUCCGAUUUAGCAGACGCUCUGAUCCUAACAUUCUUGUGUUAUAAUCUGUUUAAUCAUAUCGGUGGCCAUGAACAUUUUUAUUUCUGUAUAUAGAGCAAUAUUCAGUGCACAUAAAUUGUGGGGGACCAGAAGCCACCAUUGGAAACACCAUCUACAAAGCAGAUGAUGAGCCAGGAGGUGCAGUAAAAUAUGUGCCCAAAAGAGAGGAGGAUUGGCAAAUAAGUACCACAGGACAUUUCUGGGAUAUUGAUCCUUCCUUGGAUAACUACAUAGCACAAAACAAGUCCAUGCUCAGAAUGGACGACUCUGUAUUGUACACAAAUGCACGCCUCACGCCUUUGUCUCUCACAUACCACGUUCGCUGUCUGGUAAAUGGGAAUUACACAAUCAAGCUGCACUUUGCAGAGAUAGUAAUGAGGGAUAACAGAUCCUACAACAGUCUAGGAAGACGGAUAUUUGAUAUUUAUAUUCAGGUAUCUAUUAAUUAAAAGAUCAUAGAUUCAUUCCUUAUGCAAUAGGUGACAGCUUAAUUGAAGAAUUGUUCUCGCAGGACAUUGUUGUGCUGAAGGAUUUUGAUAUAGUGAAGGCAGCGGGAGGGGUGCAUAAGGUAUACAUUCAUAAUUUUACAGCAAAUGUAACCAAUGGAGCUUUAGAGAUCCGUCUUCAUUGGGCUGGGAAAGGAACCACAACGUCUCCCAAAAAAGGAAUAUAUGGUCCUCUAAUAUCAGCCAUUGAUGUGGAAUCUGGUAGGUUGACAUAUAAUGGAAUGGCAAUGUAAUGAAGGAAUAAUUAGUACUGUGAUCUGACAAUACUUGCUCUUGCUGCAAUUCUAUUUCUGCCUAGACUUCAAGCCUCCUACUAAAGGCAGGAGGAAGAGAUUCAUUGUCGCUGGGGCUGUGGUUUUGUCAUUAUUCCUCGUUUUCAUACUUCUAUCCUCUCUCUGGUGGAAAGGUUAUUUGGGAGGAAGGACAUCGAGGGAUCGAGGUACAGUUGAUACAUUUAUUUGAUUUUGCAAAUUCUAGUGAGGAAUCCAGUCACUAAAAUAACACGGCAAUAAGCAAUUUUCUGCAUCUUAUUUGCUGUAUGUCUAUCCAUGAAUGCAUACAUUUGUCAAAAAAUUAUCUCAAUCCAAAAACGAAGCUAAAGGAAUGGUUUUAUAUUACUCUCUCUAACAAUGGUUUUUUCAAUGGGAAUUAUCAAUCUCAAUGCUGUUUAAUUGUAGGACUGCAAAAACCAUCUAUGUUCUUCCUUUGAUGAAUCAUUCAUGCAGAACAACUAAUAGAUACAUAUCCUCUUUGUUCCUUGGGCAGAACUUGUUGGGUUAGAUCUGCUAACUGGUAUCUUCACCUUCAGACAAAUCAAAGCUGCAACGAAUGACUUUGAUCCAGCAAACAAACUUGGAGAAGGUGGUUUUGGCUGCGUCUACAAAGUAUAGUACAGAUUUUUGUUUUCGUCUAGCUACUUGUCUACUAUAUUAUUUCUUUUCUCUUAUCGAAGCAUCAAGGAAUGGCCUCGGUGAACUUAUUUUGUUUGUCUAAAAUUAUUCUCAUUAUAGGGAGUACUAUCAGAUGGCACUCCUAUUGCUGUUAAGCAGCUUUCUGCGAAAUCAAAACAGGGGAAUCGUGAGUUUGUGAACGAAAUAGGCAUGAUUUCUGCUUUGCAACACCCAAAUCUUGUUAGAUUGUAUGGAUGUUGCAUUGAGGGGAAGCAAUUGUUGCUGGUAUAUGAAUACAUGGAAAACAAUAGCCUUGCUCAUGUUUUGUUCGGUAGGCCUCUGAUCACUUCCCCAUAGUAUCAUAUGUAAAGUAAUGAGAAAGAAAACAAGUUCUUUGAUAUGUGUAAGUAUAGAAGAAACUGAUGGGUUGAUAUAUGCAUGAUGAUUAAAGGGACAAAGGAAAUCCAGGCAACGAAGCUAGACUGGCGUACAAGGCAGAGGAUAUGUGUAAGUAUAGCGAAAGGUCUGGUUUUCCUGCAUGAGGAGUCGACACUCAAAAUUGUUCAUAGAGACAUAAAAGGUACCAAUAUCCUUCUUGACAAGGUCAUGAACGCCAAGAUAUCUGAUUUUGGAAUGGCCAAGCUUGAUGACGAGGACAACACCCACAUCGACACCAGAGUUGCUGGAACAAUGUGAGUUUCUGAUAUCAACACAAGUGGUUUAUUGAACAAACUGUAAGGAAAACACACAAGUAUUGUCAUUUAUCUAAGAUAGCUUUUAGUCUUAAACAGUAUGAUGCUGUGACUGGGCUCAAGUGCCGAUGGAAGGGGUUAGCUUCAAAAUAUGUGGUAGACAGGCAUCUAGGGUUCAAAUCACACACCACAGGGUUCUCAUGGAUCAGGGUUUCCCCAUCUAUGGCUGUGUUCCUCUAAGACUAACCCUUGGAGAGGUUUAGUCUGGUUCACGUUAUCAUCCAGGGUUCGAAAUCCUGUUUAGGCUGCAAGAAAUAUAAUUUUGCCUAUCGAAAACAAAAACAAGCAAUAGACAUUAGCAUUUUUUACAUGUUUUAUUGAAGCAAACUAGUAAAAUGUCUGAGUUAUUCUUUCUGUGCAGGGGAUACAUGGCACCGGAAUAUGCAUUAUAUGGUUACUUAACUUACAAGGCAGAUGUAUACAGCUUUGGUGUUGUAGCAUUGGAAAUUGUUUCUGGGAUGAACAACGUCAAAUUUAGGAGGGAUGAGAAUUUUGUUUGCCUUCUAGAUUGGGUAAGUUAUGCCCAUUUAGUCUCUUAAUUGUCUGUUCAUGUUUACUCUUCGUCAGCUAUAUAUCUAUUUUUUUUUUAUUAUUUCAGGUUCUAUAUUUACAAAAAAAUGGGGACAUAAUGGAGAUGGUUGAUCCAAUAUUGGGGUCUGAAUUCAACAAGAAAGAAGUGGUUAGAAUGAUCAAUGUAGCCCUGCUAUGCACAAAUCAAUCUCCAGCACUUAGACCUACAAUGUCUACAGUAGUGAGCAUGCUUGAAGGAAAAACUGAUGUCGAGGAACUCGUCAUGGUUCCAAGCACAUUGGGUGAUCCAUCAGGGUUUUCUACGGCCUUACAUAACAAGUUUGCUCGAUCUUCUGUCAAUGG
rnacentral:lncRNA from 1 species